rnacentral:rRNA from 1 species
UACGUAGGGUGCAAGCGUUAAUCGGAAUUACUGGGCGUAAAGCGUGCGCAGGCGGUUCGUUGUGUCGGCGGUGAAAGCCCCGGGCUUAACCUGGGAAUGGCCGUUGAAACUGCCUGACUCGAGUCCGGUAGGGGCGAGUGGAAUUCCUGGUGUAGCGGUGAAAUGCGCAGAUAUCAGGAGGAACACCAAUGGCGAAGGCAGCUCGCUGGAACGGUACUGACGCUGAGGCGCGAAAGCGUGGGGAGCGAACAGG